CUCGGUAUGACUUAGUGGUAGAGAGCUUCCUAGCAUGGAUGAGGCUCUGGGUUUAAUCCCCAGUACCACAA
rnacentral:tRNA from 1 species